rnacentral:rRNA from 1 species
GCACUACGGUGCUGAAGCAACAAAUGCCCUGCUUCCAGGAAAAGCCUCUAAGCAUCAGGUAACAUCAAAUCGUACCCCAAACCGACACAGGUGGUCAGGUAGAGAAUACCAAGGCGCUUGAGAGAACUCGGGUGAAGGAACUAGGCAAAAUGGUGCCGUAACUUCGGGAGAAGGCACGCUGAUAUGUAGGUGAAGCGACUUGCUCGUGGAGCUGAAAUCAGUCGAAGAUACCAGCUGGCUGCAACUGUUUAUUAAAAACACAGCACUGUGCAAACACGAAAGUGGACGUAUACGGUGUGACGCCUGCCCGGUGCCGGAAGGUUAAUUGAUGGGGUUAGCGGUAACGCGAAGCUCUUGAUCGAAGCCCCGGUAAACGGCGGCCGUAACUAUAACGGUCCUAAGGUAGCGAAAUUCCUUGUCGGGUAAGUUCCGACCUGCACGAAUGGCGUAAUGAUGGCCAGGCUGUCUCCACCCGAGACUCAGUGAAAUUGAACUCGCUGUGAAGAUGCAGUGUACCCGCGGCAAGACGGAAAGACCCCGUGAACCUUUACUAUAGCUUGACACUGAACAUUGAGCCUUGAUGUGUAGGAUAGGUGGGAGGCUUUGAAGUGUGGACGCCAGUCUGCAUGGAGCCGACCUUGAAAUACCACCCUUUAAUGUUUGAUGUUCUAACGUUGGCCCGUUAUCCGGGUUGCGGACAGUGUCUGGUGGGUAGUUUGACUGGGGCGGUCUCCUCCUAAAGAGUAACGGAGGAGCACGAAGGUUGGCUAAUCCUGGUCGGACAUCAGGAGGUUAGUGCAAUGGCAUAAGCCAGCUUGACUGCGAGCGUGACGGCGCGAGCAGGUGCGAAAGCAGGUCAUAGUGAUCCGGUGGUUCUGAAUGGAAGGGCCAUCGCUCAACGGAUAAAAGGUACUCCGGGGAUAACAGGCUGAUACCGCCCAAGAGUUCAUAUCGACGGCGGUGUUUGGCACCUCGAUGUCGGCUCAUCACAUCCUGGGGCUGAAGUAGGUCCCAAGGGUAUGGCUGUUCGCCAUUUAAAGUGGUACGCGAGCUGGGUUUAGAACGUCGUGAGACAGUUCGGUCCCUAUCUGCCGUGGGCGCUGGAGAACUGAGGGGGGCUGCUCCUAGUACGAGAGGACCGGAGUGGACGCAUCACUGGUGUUCGGGUUGUCAUGCCAAUGGCACUGCCCGGUAGCUAAAUGCGGAAGAGAUAAGUGCUGAAAGCAUCUAAGCACGAAACUUGCC